AUCUUUCAUUUGCCAUUUUCCACUCUCUCUCUCAAAAAAAAAAAAAAACCCCAUAUUUCCCUAAAUAUUGCUCUGCCUUCUCUCUAAAAUACCACUCUGCUGAACCGUUCAAUUCCUGGUUUGAAGGUGCCUAAGCGUCCACGACAGCAAGGGCUUUACUUUGAAUCGAUUAGUUUCUUUGUCUCCUUCCGGUUCGAUUGAUCUUGUCUCUGCGUUAGGGUACUGUUUUGAGGUCUUGUGAGUUGUUCUGUGUAACCAAAAGAGGAAGGAGAGGUUUCACUGGAGCAUGUCUUGGAGGAAAAAUGAAGAUGUUGCAGCUUAGACUCACUANAAUUUCUUAGUUAUAUUAUGUCAUUUUGAGAUACUAUGUUUUGUCUUUAAAAUUUUUAAAUUCUUAGCUAUUUUGAUGGAUGACUGUAAUCCGAUUUGUCUAAAUGCACUUCUGACUGCUUUCCAGUAUUAUGAUUGAUGAUGUCUUAU